rnacentral:lncRNA from 1 species
UAUGGCUGUGCUGUUGAUGAUAACUGAAGGUUUGCAAGCUGGUCUUAUGGGUUGCAGUUUGUGUGACCUUCAUCGUCUUGGGUGCCGUGUACAUUGAUGACUGCCCAGUGAAACGUAUCAUACCUAUCCACAUGAUCAUUUCUGGAUCUUUCGGUCUCCUCUAUGUAUUCUUCUCCUGCUACAAGGACCGUGUUGUGUGCCAACAUUUGUCUAAACUAUUUUGGUUCAUGAUCAUCAUCUGGCUCAUUAUUGGCCAUUUUUGGACCUUCUCUGUAUUCCAACCCAACUACGAACGGAAAGAGAUCAUCGGCAACACGGCCAGAGCAUUUCGUCGACAUCACAAGCAAUAUUGUCCCUCCUGAGGCAACGGGGGAAGAAGUCUCUUGUGUGCCGUAUCCAGCCCUGACCUGAUUCCUCACCUAUAUCACCACAGGCUAAAUCCAUGGCUUGCAGCAGAUUUACUCUGGUGUAGGGUUGUCUAUCAUACACUUUCCAUCUCCAAGAGGAGAAAAACUCCUCAAUCGGAUUCAGGAAAGGUAUCUCUAAACUACUUGCAUGUGCCAUUCCUAUCGCUCAGAUCACCAUAGGUGAGUAGCUGAAGUAAUACUCUUGCUGCAACUGACCAUCCCAAACUCUCCUACCACUAUGUAUUACUUUAUAGGUGCAAUGUACCUGUAUGACUGCCC